GGUAGUCCACGCCGUAAACGAUGGGCACUAGGUGUGGGGGGUGUCGACUCCCCCGUGCCGGAGCUAACGCAUUAAGUGCCCCGCCUGGGGAGUACGGCCGCAAGGCUAAAACUCAAAGGAAUUGACGGGGGCCCGCACAAGCAGCGGAGCAUGUGGUUUAAUUCGACGCGACGCGAAGAACCUUACCUGGGCUUGACAUGUCCGUGACAGCCGUGGAAACACGGUCUCCCUUCGGGGGCACGGUCACAGGUGGUGCAUGGCUGUCGUCAGCUCGUGUCGCGAGAUGUUGGGUUAAG
rnacentral:rRNA from 1 species